GAGUGAUGAUGUUUUAAACCUAUUCCAUUUCUGAACUAUCCUGUGGAAAAAAAUAACUGAACUC